UGAUGUUAUUUACAUGGGACUGUAUAUUGGUGGUAUAGGAGUGAUGUUAUUUACAUGGAACUGUAUAUUGGUGGUAGAGGAGUGAUGUUAUUUACAUGGGACUGUAUAUUGGUGGUAUGGGAAUGAUAUUUACAUGGGACUGUAUGUUGGUGGUAGAGGAGUGAUGUUAUUUACAUGGGACUGUAUAUUGGUGGUAUGGGAAUGAUGUUAUUUACAUGGGACUGUAUGUUGGUGGCAGAGGAGUGAUGUUAUUUACAUGGGACUGUAUGUUGGUGGCAGAGGAGUGAUGUUAUUUACAUGGGACUGUAUGUUGGUGGUAGAGGAGUGAUGUUAUUUACAUGGAACUGUAUAUUGGUGGUAUGGGAAUGAUGUUAUUUACAUGGGACUGUAUGCUGGUGGUAGAGGAGUGAUGUUAUUUACAUGGAACUGUAUAUUGGUGGUAUGGGAGUGAUGUUAUUUACAUGGGACUGUAUGUUGGUGGUAGAGGAGUGAUGUUAUUUACAUGGGACUGUAUAUUGGUGGUAUGGGAGUGAUGUUAUUUACAUGGAACUGUAUAUUGGUGGUAUGGGAAUUAUAUUAUUUACAUGGGACUGUAUGUUGGUGGUAGAGGAGUGAUGUUAUUUACAUGGGACUGUAUGUUGGUGGUAGAGGAGUGAUGUUAUUUACAUGGGAAAGGACUUAGGGGUGUGUGUGUGUGUGUGGGGGGGGGGUGUUCAGGGGAGCAUGAAGAGGACUUACAAGUCUAGGGGGAAGGGUGGGUGGAACAAAGGAAUCGGGAGGAAGAUUUAUAUUAUAUUCAGUGUACAGCGUAUAGCAGGGUUAUAUUUAGAGGCUACAGUGUGUGGCAGUAUUUUAAAAUGUUUACCUGUAUUAUAUUCAGGGGGUACAGUGUGUGGCAAUAAUAUAUUUAGAGGGUACAGUGUGUGGCAGUAUUAUGUUCAGGGGUACAGUGGUUGGCAGGACUAUAUUCAGGGGGUACAGUGGUUGGCAGGACUAUACUGAGAGGGUUCAGUGUGUGGCAGUAUUAUAUUCAGGGGCCCAGUGUGUUGCAGUAUUAUAUUCAGGGAUACAGUAUAUGGCACUAUUAUAUUCAGGGGUACAGUGGGUGGCAUUAUUAUAUACAGGAGGUAUGGUGUGUGGCAAUAAUAUAUUUAGAGAGUACAACAUGUGGCAGGGUUAUAUUUAGGGGGUACAGUGGUUGGCAGUAUUAAGGGGUACAGUAUUUGGCAGUAUUAUAUUCAGGGAGUACAGUGGUUGGCAGUAUUAUAUUCAGGGGGUACGGUGUGUGGUAAUAUAUUUAGAGGGUGCAGUGUGUGGCAGGGUUAUAUUCAGGAGGUACAGUGGUUGGCAGAAUUCAGGGGUACAGUUUUUGGCAGUAUUAUAUUCAGGGGUACAGUAUUUGGCAGUAUUAUAUUCAGGGGGUACAGUAUUUGGCAGAAAACUAAUGAUUAUUGUCUUCAUACAGAGGAUGAGGAUCUGCUGACAAAUUAAGGAACCAAUGAUGUCCGGGCGUUAGACUCUGCAGAGAAGAUGUAACGGGAAGAAGUCCUGGCGUCUGGACCAGAUGAGGAAGAAAAGGAAAGACAACAGAGAAGACGUCACUCAGGCCGGAAGAAGUGCAUACCUAUGCGUGAAACCGCAGUCACCUCUGAGUGCCCCAUGCCACCUUUGUCCACCGACCUGGAGGAGCAGCCCGAGAUGGGAGCCGUAUAACCAGAGCUGAAGCGGGAGCACCAGCUAACCAGGUGACCUGCAGCUUGACCUAUGGGCUCCUUGCUCAGCGCCCCUUUAUAAGGAAGGGAGGAGCUGCAAUCUGCCUCUUUUGCUCUUCUACCACACUUUCUGCUGAGGUCAAGUCCAGUCCAGAUGUCUCAGAUCCAGUGUCCAGAACAUCUGAAGGCCUCAAGCCUAACCAAAAAGCCACAUGUCAGUAAGUCAAGUCAUCUCUAUCUGCUGUCAUUAUCUUCAGUCAAGUCUAUUAUAGUCAGCGUGGUAGUCCUAAAGUCUGUCAAGUCCCAGCACACUGCAAGGUCCCCUCCGUGUUACUGGUCACCUCUGUGGCAUCCUGGCCUAGCUGUAAAGACUGUUACGAUCUGUUUACCUCAGUAAAGCUACCGUUAACCCUAACCUGGUCUUGGACUAUUAUUACCCUGCCGAACCUAGGGAUAGCAGAGCUACCUUUGGGUGGUUACUUAGGAAAACCACUCCCUGGCGUCACGAACAUUUUGCAGUUAAUAACAUCUCACCCCCCUGGCACACCACAUAUAUUUAUCAUUCUGCUCAGCUAAUCGUACUCUAUAACAUGGUGCAUGCAGUUGGACUGCAAUUGCAAUCUAAUGAAUUCCCUUUAAGUUGUAUUGAUGCAUCCCAAAAAUUAGUUUACAUCUACACUGCCCUUUUUUUCCGUCAAUGCUGGUCCAUUUUGAAAAAAUAAAAAAUCUAAUAUAAAAUGUAAAACUUUCUAUACUGUAAAAGUCUGCCAUCUUUCCUACAUCCUCACCUUAAGAGUAUAAUAGUGUAUUGAAUGGCUUCCUUUCAUGGGUUUGCAUUGCUCUCUUGUAGUUGCGUACAAAUUUACAAAGAAUUUGAACUGGAAAAAUUUAUUAUCUUUUUUUGGGGGGGGGA